CAAGUCGAGCGAGGCGCGGUAGCAAUACCGCAGUCGAGCGGCGAACGGGUGAGUAACGCGUGGAUAACCUGCCCUUCAGCGGGGAAUAACCCGGGGAAACUCGGGCUAAUACCGCAUACGAUCGAGAGAUGAAAGGGGCCCGCAAGGGUCUCACUGAAGGAGGGGUCCGCGUCCGAUUAGCUAGUUGGUGGGGUAAUGGCCUACCAAGGCAACGAUCGGUAGCCGGCCUGAGAGGGUGAUCGGCCACACUGGAACUGAGACACGGUCCAGACUCCUACGGGAGGCAGCAGUGGGGAAUUUUGCGCAAUGGGCGGAAGCCUGACGCAGCAACGCCGCGUGGAGGAUGAAGGUCCUUGGAUUGUAAACUCCUGUCAGCAGGGAAAAAGCGACCGUACCUCAUACGUACGGGAGUUGAUUGUACCUGCAGAGGAAGCCCCGGCUAACUCUGUGCCAGCAGCCGCGGUAAUACAGAGGGGGCAAGCGUUAUUCGGAAUUAUUGGGCGUAAAGGGCGCGUAGGCGGCUUUGCAAGUGACGGGUGAAAUCCCUCGGCUUAACCGAGGAACUGCCUGUCAGACUGCAUGGCUUGAGACCGGGAGAGGUGAGUGGAAUUCCCAGUGUAGCGGUGAAAUGCGUAGAUAUUGGGAGGAACACCAGUGGCGAAGGCGGCUCACUGGACCGGUACUGACGCUGAGGCGCGAAAGCGUGGGGAGCAAACAGGAUUAGAUACCCUGGUAGUCCACGCCGUAAACGAUGAGUGCUUGGUGUAGCGGGUAUCGACCCCUGCUGUGCCGAAGUCAACACAUUAAGCACUCCGCCUGGGGAGUACGGUCGCAAGACUGAAACUCAAAGGAAUUGACGGGGCCCGCACAAGCGGUGGAGCAUGUGGUUUA
rnacentral:rRNA from 1 species